rfam:Yokenella regensburgei ATCC 43003 genomic scaffold Scfld129, whole genome shotgun sequence.
CCUCUUGCAUCCUCGCGACUAAUGACAACCCUAACCCGUCACGGGUAAAGCCUCUCAUUAGCCGCGCGAACCUCUGCAAUGAAGAUCAUUUAAAGCAACAAUACAUUAGUUUCCAGUGAAUUGCUGCCAUCGGCUUGAAAAAAGGGGCCAUGAAGGCCCCUCUUU